rnacentral:rRNA from 1 species
UGGGGAAUAUUGGACAAUGGGGGGAACCCUGAUCCAGCCAUGCCGCGUGUGUGAAGAAGGCCUUAUGGUUGUAAAGCACUUUAAGCGGGGAGGAGGCUAUAGGUAUUAAUACUAUCUACUAGUGGACGUUACCCGCAGAAUAAGCACCGGCUAACUCUGUGCCAGCAGCCGCGGUAAUACAGAGGGUGCGAGCGUUAAUCGGAUUUACUGGGCGUAAAGCGUGCGUAGGCGGCUAAUUGAGUCGGAUGUGAAAUCCCCGAGCUUAACUUGGGAAUUGCAUUCGAUACUGGUUGGCUAGAGUAUUGGAGAGGAUGGUAGAAUUCCAGGUGUAGCGGUGAAAUGCGUAGAGAUCUGGAGGAAUACCGAUGGCGAAGGCAGCCAUCUGGCCAAAUACUGACGC